CCUACGGGUGGCAGCAGUGGGGAAUAUUGCGCAAUGGGCGAAAGCCUGACGCAGCGACGCCGCGUGAGGGAUGAAGGUCUUCGGAUCGUAAACCUCUGUCAGCAGGGAAGAACGGUCACUGUGCUAAUCAGCAGUGAAUUGACGGUACCGGCAAAGGAAGCACCGGCUAACUCCGUGCCAGCAGCCGCGGUAAUACGGAGGGUGCGAGCGUUAAUCGGAAUUACUGGGCGUAAAGCGCUCGUAGGCGGUAUGUCAAGUCAAGGGUGAAAUCCCCGCGCUCAACGUGGGAACUGCCUUUGAAACUGGCAAACUGGAGUGUGUGAGAGGAUAGUGGAAUGCCAGGUGUAGGGGUGAAAUGCGUAGAUAUCUGGAGGAACAUCAGUGGCGAAGGCGACUAUCUGGCACAUAACUGACGCUGAGGAGCGAAAGCGUGGGUAGCAAACAGGAUUAGAUACCCUUGUAGUC
rnacentral:rRNA from 1 species